UUCUCUUACCUUUAGACUUCCACAUCCUCCCUUGGUCUUCUCUCCAAAUCCGUUUGAACUCAUACUUUCACCACUAACUGCUCUAAUCAAACCUUCCUUGAGCUCAUUCAAUGGAUUAAUUUCAUCUUCCUUUCAGUUAUUCUGGCGACAACUCUACAAAGUUAAUAAUCAAAUGUUUAGCCCUAUUGUUUCAGAUCUCCUCCAUAACGUACCUUCUUAAUGAAGAUGAUUGAGUCCAAGUCUCCGGUCUGCAAACGGAGAGUUCUUCGCUGCUUGCCAUGAGUGUAGUUUCCCAAUCUGCAAAGCUUGUCUUGAGUAUGAAUUCAAGAAGGUCGAAGAAUCUGCUUGCGUUGCGGCAAGCCUUACGAUGAGAAUGUGCUUGAUGAUGUUGAGACAAAGACAUCUAAACACCAAUCCACUGUUGCAACAGUAACACUCCUCAGGAUUCUGGAAUUCAUGCUAGACAUAUAAGUACAGUCUCCACAAUAGACAGUGAACUCAACGAUGAAUACAGAAAUCCUAUAUGGAAGAACAGAGUUGAUAGCUGGAAAGACAAGAAGAGCAAGAAGAAGAAGAAACAUGCAAAGGCAACAAAAGCUGAAGACCCUGAUGCUCAGGUUCCUCCCCAACAGCACAUUGAAGAUAUAUCACUGAACGCAGAGGCUGCUUCUGCUACAGAUGUGCUUUCUGUUGUGAUUCCUAUCCCAAGGACAAAAAUUACUUCAUACAGAAUCGUUAUCAUCAUGCGUUUAACCAUCUUGGCUUUGUAUUUCCACUACCGUAUCACCCAUCCAGUGGACAGUGCUUACGGUCUAUUGCUAACAUCUGUGAUAUGUGAGAUCUGGUUUGCUUUCCCGUGGGUGUUGGAUCAGUUUCCUAAAUGGUCUCCUAUCAACAGAAUGUAGAGCCAUGAAAAGAUUAUGAAGAGUUCAAGAUCAGAAUGAGGUGCAUUGGCUGCGUCGAUGAAGAAAUCAGUAAAACAAGAUUUUUUAGAAGACGAUGGAAAGUCCGGUAAAGUUGUUGGAACAUCCACACCUGACAAAGGUGUUAUAUAUUUGGAGAGGAGGCAGGCAUUUUUUUGGCUUUGACCAAAGCUUCUCCCGGCAUAUCAGCCAAUGGUAGCUUAGGUACUGGUUCGUCCAAACUUUUGGUCUUAAGCACAAAAUCAUUAGACGUUGAUAGAGUCUAAUGAGAGCUCAAUGGACCUUUUAGGCAUUCUAACUUUUAAUCUUUAGUGCAUUCAAAGAUGGUGUUGUAGUUUUAGAUACACAAACAAUUUUUUCAUGGAAAGGCU